UAGAGUUGCAAUUCUGGAUGC
rnacentral:siRNA from 1 species